UACGUAGGGGGCAAGCGUUGUCCGGAAUCAUUGGGCGUAAAGAGCGUGUAGGCGGCCUAAUAAGUCGGUUGUGAAAGUCAAGGGCUCAACCCUUGAAUGCCGGCCGAUACUGUCAGGCUAGAGUCCGGAAGAGGCGAGUGGAAUUCCUGGUGUAGCGGUGAAAUGCGCAGAUAUCAGGAGGAACACCGAUGGCGAAGGCAGCUCGCUGGGACGGUACUGACGCUGAGACGCGAAAGCGUGGGGAGCAAACAGG
rnacentral:rRNA from 1 species